rnacentral:rRNA from 1 species
CCUACGGGUGGCAGCAGUGAGGAAUAUUGGUCAAUGGGCGCGAGCCUGAACCAGCCAAGUAGCGUGAAGGAUGACUGCCCUACGGGUUGUAAACUUCUUUUAUAUGGGAAUAAAGUGCAGUAUGUAUACUGCUUUGCAUGUACCUUAUGAAUAAGGAUCGGCUAACUCCGUGCCAGCAGCCGCGGUAAUACGGAGGAUCCGAGCGUUAUCCGGAUUUAUUGGGUUUAAAGGGAGCGUAGGCGGGUUGUUAAGUCAGUUGUGAAAGUUUGCGGCUCAACCGUAAAAUUGCAGUUGAUACUGGCAGCCUUGAGUACAGUAGAGGUAGGCGGAAUUCGUGGUGUAGCGGUGAAAUGCUUAGAUAUCACGAAGAACUCCGAUUGCGAAGGCAGCCUGCUGGACUGUAACUGACGCUGAUGCUCGAAAGUGUGGGUAUCAAACAGGAUUAGAUACCCCAGUAGUC